AUGUCCCUGAUCAAACCAAUGUGGCUCAUGUCCAGGUAUUUCCCAUAUCUUUCUGUCUUUUCCAUGGCCAAAAACGAUCAACUAAAGAACAUUAAAGAAGAAAUAAAUUACCAUAUAUUAAAAAAUAUAUACUGUAAAAUGUUCUUUAUACAAAAAUAUGACAACUUCAAUAAAAGUAACUUGGAUAACCUGAGGCAUUAAUUGAGGAUCAAUGUGAUGACUCUACAUUGAGAAUCACAUAUACCUUCUGAAUAAAUUUUAAAAAUGAAAUAUUCUCAGUCACAUUAUUUUCAAAUUGUGGAUAUGCAUGGAAAUUAUCAGAGAACCAGAAUAUUCAAGGUUUAUCCUUCCUGUUUUUGUCUUAAAUCACAGCUUUGUGUUAAAUGAUAUGUAUGACCUAUUUCAGUGGCAGUAUGCUAAAUAAAAUUCUGUUUGUAUCUCCUGUUUUUGUGCUUCUCAAAUUGAAGUCACUGAAUCCUCAAGAAUUCAUGCUAGGUUGCCCUAAGAGUUGAUACUCCCAGAUGAACAAGGUGGAACUUCCUGGAGAAUUCAUCUUAUUGGAAUUAGAAUUUUUUGUGAACCCUCUAUAUGCUUAAGCCAAUAUAUUUUGAUAUGGAAAACAAAAUGUGCACAAAGGAGACAUAAAAGAAAUUUCCACCUGCCACAGAUCCCCUUGGGCUAUACCUCAACCCAAGACCCUACGUGUGCCAUUUUCUAUUCGGUAACCUUGUUAUAAAUAUUUAAGAAGCUCUUUCUAGUAGUUCACAAAAAACAUUCCUGUCGUGCCAGCCCAUUCUGCAGAUUCCCCAGGUUCGAUGCUGAUGAUAACAUAUUCCAUGGCUCUUGAAAAGUGCCAAAUAUUUUAGAAUAGCCUGCAGAGCACAAUGUAAAUGUGCAAUCAUUCUAAGUUUCUCAGUUUUCCUUUUUGCCACAAUAUGCCUACUGUUGUCUCAAUUAAAUGACUUUGGAUGUUUUCAGUCCUAUGCAAAAACAAUAUUAACUAAUAUGAAUUUAGAGCUUUCUAUGCAUAAAGAGCCCCCUCUGUAUUGUUGCUUUUAAGCAUCGCAGCAACCCUCUGAGUUAGGUGUCAUUCUCAUCCUCUUUGUAGACGAGAACCUGAGUACAAAUUGCUCAAAUUAUGUCCUCGAGAUCACACAGGUCAAAGGAAGAAUAUCCAGGAUUUGAAACCAAAUGGUCCUCCUUCGAGAUCCCACCUUUACAUAUUACUCUUAUUCUUCAUCUGGAAAGAACCAUGAGGGGAUAAAUUUCUUUGUUAAAAGGGCAAAUAAAAUAUUUAUAAUCAUGUUGAGCAGGGGUGAUUUCUGCCAUGUGACAUGAUUCUUACUUAACUGUUGGGACUCCAGCAGCUUACUCCAAUCAGCUUACAAACAGCACUGACUUCCACACACUCAGAGGGACACAGC
rnacentral:lncRNA from 1 species